ACACCGGGGGAUACCACAGGGACACCACAGGGACACCGCAUUGGGGACACCGGGGGACAUCACAGGGACAUCACGCCAGGGACACCACAGGUGGGCACGUCGGGGACACCACGGGUCGACGACACCAAGGGUCGACACAUCGGGGACACCGCAUUGGGGACACCGCAUUGGGGACAUCGCAGGGACACCACGGGGACACCACGGGGACAUCCCAGGUUGGCACGUUGGGGACGCCACGGGUCGGGGACAUCCCAGGUUGGCACGUUGGGGACGCCACGGGUCGGCGCGUCGGGAGCACCGAGGAACGCCGGGUGGCACGAAGGGGCAGCGAAGCGGGGAAAAAACGGCAGCAAAGUGAGAAAAAUGGCAAAAUGUGGCACCAAAGUGACAAAAGUGGCAACAAAAUGACAAAAAAUGGCACCAAGGUGAGAAAAGCGGCACCAAAGUGGCACUAAAUGCCACCAGGUGUCACCAGGUUUCAGCAGAGUGGCAAAAAGUGGCA